UUGUUUCAUUCUCUACAGCGACAACAUUCUGAGCAUUAAGGAUUAUCCAGCCUUGAGCAUAAGAAGAACCAGCAUUUCUGAAGGUUGUUCAAAGAACGUGGAACAAUUGUAAAGAUGCCUCGCGGCAAAGGUUUUCGCCGUACACAAGCCUUUAAAAGGAAGAUGGAAGACCCCAAACCACUGGAUGUCGAAAUCAAAGUUCAAGAAAGCACGUUUGUGGCUUGUCAAGGAACAGGAAUGCGGCAUAGAAGUAGACCUUGGCCGACCUCUUCUGCCAACAAUACCUGCAAACUGGUUAUUCCACCAGAAUCAAAAGACAAGAA